GGGAACCCCUAUCGGGUUCAGACUAAGCCAUGCGGGUCGGCUGGGGGCACUUGCCCCUGGCGGCGCACGGCUCAGUAAUACGCGGUCAACCUACCCUGGGGACCGGGAUAACCUCGGGAAACUGAGGCUAAUCCCGGAUAGGUGUGGGGUGCUGAAAUGCCCUCACGCCAAAAGUAGGCGGGAAAUGGACCGCUGAGGCCCCAGGAUGGGACCGCGGUCUAUCAGGUAGUAGGUGGGGUAACGGCCCACCUAGCCUACGACGGGUACGGGCCCUGAGAGGGGGAGCCCGGAGAUGGGCACUGAGACAAGGGUCUAGGCCCUAAGGGGUGCAGCAGGCGCGAAGAUUCCGCAAUGCCCGAAAGGGCGACGGAGUGAACCCGAGUGCCACCCGCUGAGGGUGGCUGUUCCCCUGUGUAAAAAGCAGGGGGUAGAAAGGGGAGGGCAAGGCUGGUGGCAGCCGCCGCGGUAAAACCAGCUCCCCGAGGGGUUCCCACGCAUACUGGGCCUAAAGCGUCCGUAGCCGGCCCUGCAAGUCUGCAGUUAAAUCCGCCUGUAGACAGGCGGGCUGCUGCAGAUACUGAAGGGCUAGGGAGCGGGAGGAGCCGGGGGUAUUCCCGGGGGAGCGGUAAAAUGCGUAGAUCCCGGGAGGACCACCAGUGGCGAAGGCGCCCGGCUUGAACGCGUCCGACGGUGAGGGACGAAAGCUGGGGGAGCAAACCGGAUUAGAUACCCGGGUAGUCCCAGCCGUAAACGAUGCCGGCUAGGUGCUGGCCAAGGUUUCGGCCUUGGCCAGUGUCGAAGCGAAGGCAUUAAGCCGGCCGCCUGAGGAGUACGGCCGCAAGGCUGAAACUUGAAGGAAUUGACGGGGGGGCACCACAAGGGGUGAAUGCCUGCGGCUUAAUUGGACUCAACGCCGGGAAUCUUACCGGGGGCGACAGCAGGAUGAAGGUCAGGCUGAAGACCUUACCAGACGCGCUGAGGGGUGGUGCAUGGCCGUCGCCAGCUCGUGCCGUGAGGUGUCCUGUUAAGUCAGGCAACGAGCGAGACCCCCGCCCCUAGUUGCCAGCGGCCUCCUUCGGGAGGGACCGGGCAAACUAGGGGGACCGCCUCCGAAGAGGAGGAGGAAGGUGGGGGCUACGGCAGGUCAGUAUGCCCCUAAUCCCCCGGGCCGCACGCGGGCU
rnacentral:rRNA from 1 species